AGUGGGAAGCUGCCCUGUGAAGACCAGGCAGGCAGGGAAGAAUAGAGUGGUGGAGACUGGCCUGAAAAAGCUGGGGACUGGGAAAGAUCUCAGACCAGAGAAACUGGAAUAAGCUGAAGCAUGAGAGCAAAGUCCCAUCACUCAUCUGAGAUCGUCACCUUCCUCUUAGAUCUAAUUACCUACAUUAAUAAUUGUUCAGUUUUGCUCUA
rnacentral:lncRNA from 1 species